rnacentral:rRNA from 1 species
AUGAACCAAAAAUUCAUGUACAUGACGGCCAUGAACGUCAAAAGGAGCUCAUACACUCUGCACCGCAUCAAGGCGUCACACUUGUUUUACCCCAAGGGUGCACUUGACUCCGCGGCUGCGGUGGUGGAGGACCGUUCUGUGCCGCCACCAACAAUGGCUUUCCGCCCGGGAGCCCCUACCCACCACUGGUCCACUGCAGUCCACCAAGCACACUACACCGCCAGGAACAAGAUCGUCUGCACAGACGAGAGAGGUCGAGCCGUCUUAUAUGAUGACGGCCUGCAAGCUGUCCGCAUGUUGCUAAGCCUCAAAAAGGCCAAGUGGCAAUCAGUGCCCCUCGCCGUUGGUGACAACCUGUUGGUCAUGGAGGCGAUCCCUAAGAACGAUCAAGAGAAGGAACAUCAAUCUUUCGAGGCGCUGAUGUAUGGCGAAAGGCCUAAAAUGUUCAAGGGGGUGGACUUUUUAUGGCACUCCAUCCCCCCGCCGCCUUAUGUCUAUGCCCCUGGCUAUGGUGACGACCGUUCUGUUGUGAUCACCGCGUGCACUGUGGUCAAUAGCUCAAGCAUCUUGAUAUCCACAGAGAGCCUCGGCACCUACUGCUUGGACACGGUGAGCGGUAAGUGGAGCAAGACUGGUGCCUGGCCGCUGCCGUUUAAAGGCCUUGCAGAAUAUGUUCCGGAGUACGAUCUCUGGUUUGGUGUCUCGGCAAAGGGGGGUGGCGUCCUCUGCGCAUCAGACCUGGGUGCUGCCUCGGCAAAGCAGACGCCGCCGCCGGUAUUCCAAGAGUGGGAGGGAUUUGCUGCCCCUGAGGGUACCGAGCUAGGAUCGCACCUCCUGCACCUAGGUGCCGGUCGUUUCUGUGUCGCCAAGUCGAUCAUGACAACAAGGCCGCAAGAGACGUGCUGCCAGAUGUGA